GACGUAGGGCGCGAGCGUUGUCCGGAUUUAUUGGGCGUAAAGAGCUCGUAGGCGGCUUGUCGCGUCGACCGUGAAAACUUGGGGCUCAACCCCAAGCCUGCGGUCGAUACGGGCAGGCUAGAGUUCGGUAGGGGAGACUGGAAUUCCUGGUGUAGCGGUGAAAUGCGCAGAGAUCGGGAGGAACACCCGUAGCGAAGGCGGCACUCUGGCCGUACGUGGACGCUGAGGAGCGGAAAGCGAUGGGGAGCAACAGGG
rnacentral:rRNA from 1 species